CUUGAGCUAUUGCGUUAGUGAUUGAAACGGCAUCCUUUUUGCUUUUUCAGCAAAAAGAUAUAGUGUAAAGCACGACCCUUU
rnacentral:sRNA from 1 species